rnacentral:rRNA from 1 species
AAAUUGAAGAGUUUGAUCAUGGCUCAGAUUGAACGCUGGCGGCAGGCCUAACACAUGCAAGUCGAACGGUAACAGGAAGCGCUUGCUGCUUCGCUGACGAGUGGCGGACGGGUGAGUAAUGUCUGGGAAACUGCCUGAUGGAGGGGGAUAACUACUGGAAACGGUAGCUAAUACCGCAUAACGUCGCAAGACCAAAGAGGGGGACCUUCGGGCCUCUUGCCAUCGGAUGUGCCCAGAUGGG